rnacentral:tRNA from 1 species
GCGUGCGAGGCGACUCUCGGAUUGUCGCGGCUGUCUGUAAAGCAGUUGCCCUCGGGCAUAGGGGGUUCGAAUCCCUCCGCACGCA